GAUGAACGCUGGCGGCGUGCCUAAUACAUGCAAGUCGAGCGAACAGACGAGGAGCUUGCUCCUCUGACGUUAGCGGCGGACGGGUGAGUAACACGUGGAUAACCUACCUAUAAGACUGGGAUAACUUCGGGAAACCGGAGCUAAUACCGGAUAAUAUAUUGAACCGCAUGGUUCAAUAGUGAAAGACGGUUUUGCUGUCACUUAUAGAUGGAUCUGCGCCGCAUUAGCUAGUUGGUAAGGUAACGGCUUACCAAGGCGACGAUGCGUAGCCGACCUGAGAGGGUGAUCGGCCACACUGGAACUGAGACACGGUCCAGACUCCUACGGGAGGCAGCAGUAGGGAAUCUUCCGCAAUGGGCGAAAGCUUGACGGAGCAACGCCGCGUGAGUGAUGAAGGUCUUCGGAUCGUAAAACUCUGUUAUUAGGGAAGAACAAAUGUGUAAGUAACUAUGCACGUCUUGACGGUACCUAAUCAGAAAGCCACGGCUAACUACGUG
rnacentral:rRNA from 1 species